UGGGGAAUAUUGGGCAAUAGGCGCAAGCCUGACCCAGCAACGCCGCGUGAGGGAAGAAUGUCUUCGGAUUGUAAACCUCUGUCCUUGGGGAAGAAAAAAAUGACGGUACCCAAGGAGGAAGCUCCGGCUAACUACGUGCCAGCAGCCGCGGUAAUACGUAGGGAGCAAGCGUUGUCCGGAAUUACUGGGCGUAAAGGGUGCGUAGGUGGCCAUGCAAGUCAGAUGUGAAAUCCCGGGGCUUAACUCGGGUGCUGCAUUUGAAACUGCGUGGCUUGAGUGCAGGAGAGGAAAGCGGAAUUCCUAGUGUAGCGGUGAAAUGCGUAGAUAUUAGGAGGAACACCAGUGGCGAAGGCGGCUUUCUGGACUGUAACUGACACUGAGGCGCGAAAGCGUGGGGAGCAAACA
rnacentral:rRNA from 1 species